rnacentral:lncRNA from 1 species
AAAAAGGCUGCUCGCACUUCAGAACACAACGAAUCGAGCACCUUAAACAACGGAGGGCACCAUGGCACACGUGCUCAUCUAAAACCAUAGCAGGGGAACUAAUUCACCAUAAGUGAAAUGGAACUCCUGCUAGACGAGGAUAACUCUCGAAACGAGCCCAUCGUCCCCGUGCCACGACCUAGCACCCAGCUCGCGAUGGGAGGUUCAGGUUGCGAAGAAAGGUACACUAGCGUGCUCGUAUUCGCGUAACUUAGAAACAACUCUAAGUGCUUAUACAGUUCCCUAAACUGUUUAAGUCAAAACAGAGGAGACUACCCUCAAUAAAACAUGCUCAGUAUUAAGCAGGGGAAACCUCCCCGGCAAAAUAACAACGAGCGCAGCAU